GAAAAUUAUUCAUAUACUAUAGAGUACAGUCCUUACUUUUGGCGUGCAGUCCUCUAAAUAUCUAUAAGUAACCAUGCGUCUUCAUACAAAUUAUUCAUAUACUAGAGAGUGCAGUCCCCUCUUUUGGAGUGCAGUCUUCUAAAUAUCUAUAAAUGACCAUGCGUCUUCAUGCAAAUUAAACAUAUACUAGAGUGCAGUCCUCUCUUUUGGA
rnacentral:lncRNA from 1 species